CACCAAAAACAAAAAAAUAAACACUAACUAAAACAUUGAAACCCUAAAAGUUCAGCCUUCAUCUCCUCGCUCGAACCCUCUCGAACCCUAAAAGCUAAGGCGCCGUCAGCUUCAUCUUCGCGAUCGAACCCAGCCCUGGUCGCCUCUCUCUGUCGCGGUGCUGGUCGCCCUGUCGCGGUUCUGCUCAACCUCAUCUUCUCGAACCCAGCCCUGGUCGUGGUGCUCCUCGCCUCUCUCUGUCGCGGUUCUGCUCAGCCUCAUCUGUUCGAACCCAGCCCUGGUCGUGGUGCUGCUCGCCUCUCUCUGUCGCGGUUCUGCUCAGUCUCAUCUUCUCGAACCCAGCCGUGGUCAUGGUGCUGCUCGCCUCUGUGUCGUGGUUCUGCUCACCUCUCAUCUUCUCAUCUUCUUGAAGCUUUCUGGUGGAGUUGCCCCUACUGCAUAAAGAUCUUCUUGCAUCUGGAUUACGCAAGAGAUCCAGCGUUCUCCUGUACGAUCCUCUUGGAACUGGCAGAACAUUAUUAGCAAAAGUUGUUGCUACUGAAUUUGUUAACUUGAUAUUGGGAUAAUAACAAGUUCAAAUGGAAGCAUGCUUGGUCAGAUGUGAGCAGCAGUAAUAUAAAUAAAGAUCUUUUUACAACUUUGAAAAAAAGAAAUAUCCUCCUUGUUACAAGGACAUCAGUUUCUGGAUCAAUGAAUCAUUUACUGAAAACAAGCUGUGUGAACUUGUUAGAGGAAUUGCUGGGGGAUCUUGUAUAAGAGUGGCUUUUGCUGUUGGACCUGGACAUUUUUACAAGACAAUAAGCCUCUUACCACUGCCCAAGAGGGUUGUUUUUCUGUUUUCUGAGGCUUCUGGUGGUGGUGGCUUACAUGCUUAGUCACUAUUGUCUAUUGGUUUAAGAGGUUUUGGUUUGCUCAUUGUUGAAAAAGUUUGCUUCUUUUUUCUGCUUGAGAGUUCAGCCUAACAAAUAAUGGCUUAUGCCUUACAUGGAAGAAAUUGUAGCAGAUUGGGACUUGGGAUUUGAAGCAUUGUUUUUGUUUUGUCUAUAGUGUUAGAAUAUUUAUUCACAAGUGUUGGGUCUAUGAAGCUUUGGAGGAAUUUAUAGUUAUUGUUUUGUGAGAGAUAUUAGAGAUGUAUAAUCUAUCAUGAUGUGGUAUCUAGCCAUUGGUUUUUUCUUGAUUCAAGAGUUUUUUUUUCUUUGAAUUAAUGGGAAAGCAAAGAGAUGUGGCCUACUACUGGUCGGUCCCCUUCCUUUCAUGAUUUGGCUGUCCUAUGUGUAAUUAAGAAGUUGUUAAAUAUCAUAUUCACAAUCUUUUUUUUGCCUCAAGAGGUUACUAAUUCCCACGAAUGAUUAAAGUA